rnacentral:rRNA from 1 species
UUUUAUGGAGAGUUUGAUCCUGGCUCAGAGUGAACGCUGGCGGCGUGCCUAAUACAUGCAAGUCGAACGAUGAAGCUUUUAGCUUGCUAGAAGUGGAUUAGUGGCGCACGGGUGAGUAAGGUAUAGUUAAUCUGCCCUACACAAGAGGACAACAGUUGGAAACGACUGCUAAUACUCUAUACUCCUGCUUAACACAAGUUGAGUAGGGAAAGUUUUUCGGUGUAGGAUGAGACUAUAUAGUAUCAGCUAGUUGGUAAGGUAAUGGCUUACCAAGGCUAUGACGCUUAACUGGUCUGAGAGGAUGAUCAGUCACACUGGAACUGAGACACGGUCCAGACUCCUACGGGAGGCAGCAGUAGGGAAUAUUGCGCAAUGGGGGAAACCCUGACGCAGCAACGCCGCGUGGAGGAUGACACUUUUCGGAGCGUAAACUCCUUUUCUUAGGGAAGAAUUCUGACGGUACCUAAGGAAUAAGCACCGGCUAACUCCGUGCCAGCA